rnacentral:lncRNA from 7 species
AUCCCUGUAGAACUUGGUUUCCAGGCUGAGGCAGCUCUUUUGUCCCAGUCUCCCGUUCCAGAACUGAAGGAAGAUCUUGGAUCCCUUACCAGUCAUUCCUAGCGCUCAUGUCAAAGGAGCAAGCAGUCUAAACUGCUCCUUCCAUCAUACUGCAGAAGAAGACAGGUUGGUCAGGGAUAUCAGCGGCUAUUCAGAGCAGAGAUGAGACAUGGAGGAAGACACAUCUUGAUGAAUUACAGAUCCAGAUGAGAGAACUGAUACUUGACUGUCCUUUACCAUAGCAAAGUCCACAGGUAGGGGGAUAACUGGGAAAGCUAACUUGUCAUUUAUUCCUUCUGGAAGGAAACUUAUUCCUGACUCCUUUUCCCCUCUGCAUGCUGUCCCAGAGUGCUCCUUCAUACAGCUGUACAGCUGCUGGCACCUCUCAGAAGCUGUGCACCCAGAACAUCCGUGCCAAAGGUGUGUGUGAUUAGUGAGAAAUGAGCAGAGCACCAGGAGGAUGGUCCUACAUCCCAGACAUCUGCAUGGGUCACUGUCUGAUGUUGCCACGGUCCAGUUACGUCUACUCUCUGAACCAGUAUGGUUUAUCUAUUCAGUAAUGCUGCAGUGCCUUUUUGAGGAAGAGCAGCACUGUGAGGACCACAUGCUCAACGCAGGGAAACAUUUCCUUCAUUCUGGGGGCAGGAGAAUCUCUUACGUGUGCUUAACAUCAGGACUAGAGACUCACAGGACUCGGCCCCUUCUUCAGAAGCCAAAUCAGAUAUACUCAUAAUGUGAAUGUAUUUUAUUGGCGUUAGCACAGGUGCGCUGUUGCAUCCCAGCUAGGCAGAGAGGCUAUUUCCAAACUGUUGAUGCAAAACAAGCUGAAACAACAGCAUCCAUCAGACUACCAAAUUGUCAUUCACAAGAAGUAUGGAGGCAAUUUUUGUUUAGAUAAAAUUUGCUGGUAAGACAGCAAUGAACACGAGAUAUUCAACGUUCUAAUAAAAUAGUAAUGCUGCAAGCUCAGCGGCUCAUAAAACAUUUACAAUCUGCAGCUAGUAAAGUGCAAACAAGAGAUUUAAACACUGCUGUUGCUAGAUGGAUGGAAACCAGUUAGAAGAUUAGGUGGAAGAUUAUUCCACACAGGUUAGGAUGAGGUUCAUUAAAUGCCUAUCUGUUUUCUCAUUUGCUGUAGCAGAGAGAACUGUAGGAUUACACCUGUUGAAGUAAUGCUCAUCUGUGGCUCAGAUGUUAAGCCAAACUAGCUCUUCUCCCAAGCUUCUUGUUGUGGUUGCUCAGAGCCCCACGUGUGUUGAAGGGCAUUGCUGGCUUCAAGCACUGAGCACCUCUUCUUUUGCUUCUCUCAUCUCCCUACAUCUAGAGCUUUUAGGGCCACUAUUAGCAGUGCUCUUGUAUGUUCCCAUUCAUUAUGUGUGAUCAUAAUUACACCCCAAGCCUGGGUUCUCAGGGGUGGGAUGAAGAAGGAGACGUGGUUGGGAGCCCCAGGGAAGCUGAAGGCACAUACAUAGGCUGAAUCUGAGCACAUCUACAGGAUGAGCAAUGCCAAUACCUCAGCUUUCCAGAAGCAGGUCUUCCCAGGAUACUGCUGGCACCAUGAGUGUGAGGGCUUUGGCAGGGAAUUCAGUGCAGUUCACUGCAAACAAGAGCAACAGAAGAUUUAGUGAUGUUAUAGCGCAAGAGACAGCUGGAAGAUGGGAGAUACAUGUGCCUGAAUCCAGGACUCGAGAAACGUUCUUUGUCCCACAUAGACUGUGCUGCCUUUCUGCAACUAAUUUUAUGCCCUUCGCGUGGGGAAAAGAAUAACAGCCACAUGGGGAGAAGUUAGCAGACUUGGAGAUAAAUUCCUCAGGCCCACUCAGGAGGUGGAUGUCUGCUCUGCUGGAGCAGGGGAAGGGGUGGGUCAUUGCCCCGGCAGCACGACUUCAAGCAGCCGCGUGUGCAACAAAGCAAGUGGAGCGGCCACACAUCACUCACAAUGGCAGUCUGUGCAGCCCUGGCAGGAUCUUUUUUAUACAAUAAAAUGCUUGCUUCAG